UAACGCGUGAGUAACCUGCCUUGGAGUGGGGAAUAACACAGUGAAAACUGUGCUAAUACCGCAUAAUGCAUUUGGGUCGCAUGAUUCUGAAUGCCAAAGAUUUAUCGCUCUGAGAUGGACUCGCGUCUGAUUAGCUAGUUGGCGGGGUAACGGCCCACCAAGGCGACGAUCGGUAGCCGGACUGAGAGGUUGACCGGCCACACUGGAACUGGAACACGGUCCAG
rnacentral:rRNA from 1 species